rnacentral:ncRNA from 1 species
GAGAGCCAAAUGAAUUGAAAGAUUCAUGUUCGGUUCGGGAAGAGAUCAUAGAAGUUGUGGAAUUGAU